AGGCUUUGAUCCUGGCUCAGGAUGAACGCUGGCGGCGUGCUUAACACAUGCAAGUCGAACGGGGUCCUUCGGGACUUAGUGGCGGACGGGUGAGUAACACGUGAGAAUCUACCCUUAGGUUGGGGACAACAGUUGGAAACGGCUGCUAAUACCCAAUGUGCCGGAAGGUGAAAGGUUUACUGCCUGAGGAUGAGCUCGCGUCUGAUUAGCUAGUUGGUGGGGUAAGGGCCUACCAAGGCGACGAUCAGUAGCUGGUCUGAGAGGAUGAUCAGCCACACUGGGACUGAGACACGGCCCAGACUCCUACGGGAGGCAGCAGUGGGGAAUUUUCCGCAAUGGGCGAAAGCCUGACGGAGCAACGCCGCGUGUGGGAGGAAGGCCUUUGGGUUGUAAACCACUUUUCUCUGGGAAGAAGACCUGACGGUACCUGAGGAAUAAGCCUCGGCGUAUAUCCGUG
rnacentral:rRNA from 1 species